rnacentral:rRNA from 1 species
UACGGGGGGGGCAAGCGUUGUUCGGAAUUACUGGGCGUAAAGGGCUCGUAGGUGGCCAACUAAGUCAGACGUGAAAUCCCUCGGCUUAACCGGGGAACUGCGUCUGAUACUGGAUGGCUUGAGUUCGGGAGAGGGAUGCGGAAUUCCAGGUGUAGCGGUGAAAUGCGUAGAGAUGUGGAGGAACACCGAUGGCGAAGGCAGCCUCCUGGGCCAACACUGACGCUCAUGCACGAAAGCGUGGGGAGCAAACAGG